UACGUAGGGGGCAAGCGUUGUCCGGAUUUAUUGGGCGUAAAGAGCGUGUAGGCGGCUUGACAGGUCUGCUGUGAAAACUCGAGGCUCAACCUCGAGAUGUCGGCGGAAACCGUCUGGCUAGAGUCCGGAAGAGGAGAGUGGAAUUCCUGGUGUAGCAGUGAAAUGCGUAGAUAUCAAGCGGAACACCAGUGGCGAAGGCGAGUCCCUGGACAACUCCUGACACUGAGGCACGAAAGCUAGGGGGAGCAAACAGG
rnacentral:rRNA from 1 species